rnacentral:rRNA from 1 species
UGCGUAGGCGGAAUAUUAAGUCAGUAGUGAAAUCCUGCGGCUCAACCGUAGAACUGCCAUUGAUACUGAUAUUCUUGAAUGUAGUUGAGGUAGGCGGAAUGUGUAAUGUAGCGGUGAAAUGCUUAGAUAUUACACAGAACACCGAUUGCGAAGGCAGCUUACUAAACUAUGAUUGACGCUGAGGCACGAAAGCGUGGGGAGCGAACAGGAUUAGAUACCCUGGUAGUCC